GUGAAAAUCUAAAGAGUGUCCUGCAGGGCUGGAAUAUUUGCUGAAGAAGGAAAUACAAUCUGUGCUCUGAAUAUUCUCAGAAUUUAAUGCCCUCAGAUAAUACCCCAGAUGGAACACUUUCCUGAGAUUAAAAAGUAAUCUGAUAAAGCAGCCUGGAGAACAGAUUGAGGAUCAAGAUUUGAUACAUAGGUCUCUGUGUGAGUACAGAUAAUGCUGUCAGCCUGGAGAACCUUUGUGAUGACACAUUUCCCAAGUUCACUACCUGCUGUCUAAAUGAGGGUAGCUGCUUCAGUCCUUGGCUGUACAUGUCUAACUCUGCUGUGUCUUCCCUGAGAUGCAGAGACUGGAACUACAAGUAGCAAUUGUGCUAUGUUGAAUGGAUGCCCUGAAUUUUAUCACUGUAAGUG
rnacentral:lncRNA from 1 species